rnacentral:rRNA from 1 species
UACGGAGGGUGCAAGCGUUAUCCGGAUUCACUGGGUUUAAAGGGUGCGUAGGAGGGCAGGUAAGUCAGUGGUGAAAUCUCCAAGCUUAACUUGGAACUGCCGUUGAUACUAUCUGUCUUGAAUAUUGUGGAGGUGAGCGGAAUAUGUCAUGUAGCGGUGAAAUGACUUAGAUAUGACAUAGAACACCAAUUGCGAAGCAGCUCACUACACAAUCAUUGACUCUGAGGCACGAAAGCGUGGGGAUCAAACAGG